AAGUCGUAACAAGGUCUCCGUUGGUGAACCAGCGGAGGGAUCAUUACCGAGUUGCAAAACUCCCCCACCAUUGUGAACCAUACCUAGUUGCUUCGGCAGCAGCGAUGCUGCCGACGGCCCCUCCAACCUCUCUCAUUUUUUAGGCUUCUCUGAGUUGACCACAACAAUCAGUUAAAACUUUCAACAACGGAUCUCUUGGUUCUG
rnacentral:misc_RNA from 1 species